ensembl:lncRNA
CCGGAGGGGGUGACAGCUGUCCCAGGGGAGGGGCUGGAAGGACUCUGGACUCAGAACCCACAGCUGUGGCUCUAAGCUCGUUUACUGUAAACUUAUUUUGGAGAAGUCCACUGGCCUCCCCAUGGCUGUUUCUUCAUCUUAAAAGGGAUCCACCUGCUUUCCUCUCGGGUCCCGUAGUUCCCUGAGAGUGUGGUCUCUGCCUUGCCUUUGGGUCUUCUUACAUUCUGACCCUUUGCCUGGACCACACUCUUCUUUCCUUACCCGCUCCUACAUCCCCCAAGUGAAAUCCCGCUUCUUCCAGCAAGUCUUCCUGAAGGGCCUUGUGGUGGACAUAACAUGUGUCCAGAUCACCCUUCAGUGAAAGACUUGGUGUUCCGGGUCUGGAAGGCUGUCUGCAGGUGGCCUUUGCCUCCAGUCGUCAUUCACUUCAGGGCUGCCCGCAUCCAGAGACUGAUCAGGGACUGGUGGCAGGAGGAGAAUCAAAGACCUCCUUGCGGCCAUCUCCGACCAACUCCAGACAGCGCCCUUGCUACCCCUCCCUUUCCCAGCUGUUGCUCUCAGAACACUCCCCACUAAGCACCUGUGUGCUGACCUCCAGAGAACCCAGCCUCCGACACCCCUAGUCCAAGUCCCAAAUGAUACCGACGGCACUUGGUCAUCUCCUCUCGAACACUCAUGAGGGUGUCGGGCGCUUCCUCUAUCCUGUCUCCUUGCCCUGAAUUGUCAUGCGAGAGGGGAUGAACGCAGCACUAGCAGCACAGGGCACAGAUGGAGAUGCCGGGGGGAACUCAAGAGGCAGAGAAAUAGCAGCAUCCGCAGGGCCUUGAACUCUCAUCCUCUUCAUCAUGGGUUCUCAGCUGGCACGUCCUCUGUGUGGCCAGGGCUCCUGUAGAGAGGCCUGACCCAGCCAGCCAGCUGGACAUGCAACCAUCACCAAGAGAAAGGACCCACUCCAGACUGCUGGCCAGAGAGAAUGAAGACGGCGCUCUUCUGUGCUGGUUACUGCUGUGUCUCCUAGAACAGCACCUGGCCCCUUAACUAGGCACUCAGCACACUGCUGAAUGAUGUAAAACCUACCCAUCCAUGGUAAGCGUGUCUUUUUCCUUUGCUGAGCAUCUGCUGGCUUUAGAGGGACCUGAGUUUUGGUGGCCAAGGAAGAGAUCAUCUGCCUGCUGUGUGGAAAACAGCCUGGAGGGGGAGCCAGAGAGGUGAGCCAGCCCGGAGAUGAAGGAUGCUUUUGAGGCAGGAAGCUGAAAGCAUCACAUGUGGAGAGAGCAAGGACUCAGGUACCAGAUACAUUAAUCCCAGUUCUCUACUUAUCUGCUGUGUUACCUCGGGAAAGUCACCUAACUUCUCUGGACUUCAGUUUUCCUCUGCUAUCAAACAGAGGCAAUACAAAGAAUGAUCAUAGUAAUUAAUUCUCCUUGUUUACUGAACAGUGCCUGGCACAUAGCAGGCACUCAAUCAAUAUUUGUUGAAUGAAUGAAUUUAGUGGGCUAGAAUUGAGGAGGUACAAAGAAGAAAUGAUCUUAUUUUUCUCCUCCUCCUGAAAAUUUCUUCUGUCAAAGGUGGUUUCCCUCUCUUGACUCCUGAUGAUAAUCAGGCAGAUCCAUGACUUCUUGGUCCCUUUGGGGCAAAAUAACAGUUUCAUUUUGGUAAUUAAAACUCACUUCCAGUCAUUAGAAAGUCCACUUUGACCCAGUGAAAUAAAAUAUUUUGAUUUCUCA